AUGUAUCAUUAUCGAAAACUUGCGGUCAUCACUGAAAAUAGCCACUUAAUAAAACAGAUUUCAUCUUUCAAAAUUCACCCACCUUUCUUCAAGCUUAAUCUCCUCUCUCCUCUUCCAACUUACCUUUUCUUCAAAACCCUUACCCAAAUCAUCCUUUCCCCAACACAACAAGAACGGACCCCAAAAUUUAGAAAGAAAAUCCUUAAAACCCAGAAUCAAAGAUGAACACACGAUGUUCAUCAUCGGAACCUCAACAUACCUUGGCAAAGACCAAACGCAGUUUCAACAAAAUGACACAACAACAUAACAAUUCCAAACCCAAAAUCAGCAAAAUACCUCAUGGAUCUAUCAUAGUUUAUACUUAAAUCAGAAUCAAUCAUGAAUAAGCAACACAAUCAUCAAACUAUACACGCAAUCGGAGACUACAUGGUGUUACGAUACCUAUGCAAGGUUGAACAAAGGGUGAAGGACGUCACUGGUACCUUCCGACUCCGGCGAGACUCCGAUGAGCGUUUACCUCAAGGUUUAGCUCGGUUUGCUCAAAGUUCUAGUGAUGAACUUUGAGUAUCCCUUUGGUAUCUUUGAGCUUUGAUGUGUAGGUCGGGAUGCGAUUUCAGCAGAGUGACGGUGCAUUUUUUUCGCCUUUUUUCAAUGAUUAGAGACUCCUUAUUUAUAGAGGAGGUAGGAGGUUUUUGCAGUGUGUAUGAAAUUCGUGAGCUGGCAAAAUGCAAUGGAUCAUUCUGUUAGAAUAAAAUCUUCUCCAGAUUUGCUGUGGUCCCUCAAUAACAGGUGGUACCAAUGGAAUUUGUUUUGCGUGACCACUCCUCCAAAUCCUUUCUUUGAAUAAUUUCUACUGCUGUAAGGAUAUGCAAUAUGUGGGUCGCCGUUCACAGUUAUGAGUUUGUAGGCUCUUCUUGACGCAUGAUUGCUAAUGUAGCUGACGCUUAACUCUAUCAUUUGCUUAAAUGGAGGCGCGAAUUAGGCCAAUGAAACACCUUUCCAAUGCUACAAACCAAUGGAUAUCACCUUUCAUUCUAAGUUAAGUUUCAAACGCUUUUGUGAUACCGACUUGUAACGAUCAUUUGGCUUAUUACGCUUUGGUACUUUGAUAAACUUUAUUGCUGAUCUGACUUGUGCUUGUAACAUGCUGCUAUGCCUGGUUUUGCAGCAAUCAUGGCUGUCACUUUUUAGGAUUUUCAGGAUGGUUAGAUCAUUGCAAUGCAGGACAGGUUAGGCCGGGUAUGUUAUAGUCGCAACAGGACAUUUGUUCGGCAUGACCUGUUAUGAUAUCUCUGUUGGAUGCCUCCUGUUAUGACAUUUGCUGUUGUUUUCCUCAUAUGUGUUGUUUCCAAGAGUGUACCAUGUAAUGGCUUCGUUUGGCUAAUGGUUUAGGACUAUUUUAACAGUUGGUAGCCCGUGGUUCUAUUAGGUGCUUGAAUUGACUUGCGAAGUACCGUUCCCAUGUUGUUGAUCAGUUGCAUUUAUUGACUCGGAAUGGACCUGCAGUUGGUGAUGGUUUGGGAGCAACAACAGCAGGUUGUGUUGGUUUAGCUGAACCAAACAGUGUAACUGGUAGAUUGAGUGGCUGGUUUGGAUUUAAACUGCACCUAGGCCAUGGAGCUUGACUUUGCAUCCUCUGCGUGAUUUGAUCGCCUUCUGCCUUUCCUUUUCUAACCAGAUUGCAUAGGCUUGUUGUGAAUUUGCGGCAUGGUUUUGUAUAUGUUGUUACAAUGCUUUAUGUGCUUUUGUCAUUGUAUUGUGUACUGGUUUUGGUUUUAUUUUAUCAUCCGCAGUACUCCCUAUUGUAAGGUUAUUGAUACCCAUUCCGGUUCAAUUUAGGAAGAAAAAGUAGCAUGGACAUCCUAUCAUGUAUCCGUUUGAGAAUUAAUGAGUACUUUGAUGAUUGGUUUUGA